GAUGAACGCUGGCGGCGUGCCUAAUACAUGCAAGUCGAACGAGAUGUAGCAAUACAUCUAGUGGCGAACGGGUGAGUAACACGUGGGCAACCUGCCUAUAGGUGGGGGAUAACCGAGGGAAACCUUGGCUAAUACCGCAUGGUGAGUACUAAGGCAUCUUAGUACAAUAAAAGAUCCAAAUGGAUCGCCUAUAGAUGGGCCUGCGGCGCAUUAACUAGUUGGUAGGGUAACGGCCUACCAAGGUGACGAUGCGUAGCCGACCUGAGAGGGUGACCGGCCACAUUGGGACUGAGACACGGCCCAAACUCCUACGGGAGGCAGCAGUAGGGAAUUUUCGGCAAUGGGGGAAACCCUGACCGAGCGACGCCGCGUGAACGAAGAAGGUCUUCGGAUCGUAAAGUUCUGUUACAAGGGAAGAACGACAGUAAGAGUGGAAAGCUUACUGUGUGACGGUACCUUGUGAGAAGGCCACGGCUGACUACGUGCCAGCAGCCGCGGUAAUACGUAGGUGGCGAGCGUUAUCCGGAAUUAUUGGGCGUAAAGAGUGACCAGCGGCAGUCAAAGUCUGGAGUUAAAACG
rnacentral:rRNA from 1 species